rnacentral:misc_RNA from 1 species
AAGUCGUAACAAGGUUUCCGUAGGUGAACCUGCGGAAGGAUCAUUAGUGAAUGGGAACAGAUAGUCCCGCGACACUUUUAACACUGUGCACUUUGCGGGAAUAUUUGCGAUUCCUGCGGUUAUGAACACGAGUGUUGUAUGUACGAAAGAACAAAGAAAACUUUCAACAACGGAUCUCUUGGCUCUC